rnacentral:rRNA from 1 species
CCUACGGGAGGCAGCAGUGAGGAAUAUUGGUCAAUGGACGAGAGUCUGAACCAGCCAAGUAGCGUGAAGGAUGACUGCCCUAUGGGUUGUAAACUUCUUUUAUAUGGGAAUAAAAUGUUCCACGUGUGGGAUUUUGUAUGUACCAUAUGAAUAAGGAUCGGCUAACUCCGUGCCAGCAGCCGCGGUAAUACGGAGGAUCCGAGCGUUAUCCGGAUUUAUUGGGUUUAAAGGGAGCGUAGGUGGGUUGUUAAGUCAGUUGUGAAAGUUUGCGGCUCAACCGUAAAAUUGCAAUUGAUACUGGCAGUCUUGAGUACAGUAGAGGUGGGCGGAAUUCGUGGUGUAGCGGUGAAAUGCUUAGAUAUCACGAAGAACUCCGAUUGCGAAGGCAGUUCACUAGACUGCCACUGACACUGAGGCUCGAAAGUGUGGGUAUCAAACAGGAUUAGAUACCCGAGUAGUC